GAAGUUGAAGUGAUCUGUUUGUUUAAGCUAGGGUGGAAGGUAUUGCAAACAGGUGUCUUCAAGAGCUGGUGGAGAGGAAUAAAGAAGGAUGAAGGUCCUCCUAAGAGGACUUGAAGGAGCCAGGCUCUUGAGCAAUCCUUCUUGUGAGUGCAGACCUCUUACAUGCACGGUCACAUCCAUUGCCCAGGUUUGAGGUUCACCACAGACCUCGGACGUGGGUGGGCAUGUCACCAGUUUCUGCUGAGAUAUAAUUCUGAGGGAUGACCCCACUUGUCUAAGGCCACAGAACAGGGAACUGGUUCCUGGAUUGAGAUGGACUAACCCCAGGUCUAGGAUUCUUUCUAUCCCUGAUAGCACUGUGUCCUCUAGCAAAGACAAGGGGCCCUAAUCCUCCAUAAAUAGAAGGAAAAUGGUAGAGGAGACUGAAGAGACAGGAAGAUUGAGUUUCAGGGACAGUGGUAGGGUGAGGAGGAGGAGGAAGAUCUGCUCAGGAUCGCCCAGCAGCUGACGGGGGCAACAGGAGUUGAGGACACGAGUUCACAAUGGAUCAAGUCACAAGCUCUAUUGACUUCUGGUGAGAGAAUUAUCACAUGGACCCUUUCUUUUCAUGAAAGUCAAGAAAAUACUAAUAUCCAGGCUGAUGAGCCCUCUCCAUGGAGAGUGUGCUCUCUCACACCUCAGACAAGUCUUGGCACUAGGCUAGACUCCAUAACACUCUCCCAUCGAGCAUUGGCAUGACAUUCCUUUGCUGCAGGCAGCUGCCCAGAGGAUUCCUUCAUUAUAAUCUUUCUGUGAAUGAUUCGGGGGACCAGGUCAGGGGGCUUUGAGAUCUGCUGAGAGUCGCAACUGAACCAGGAAAGAAGGGAGAAUUUGGAGUCAAGCUUGGUUUGGACACCUGGAGACACUCCCAGCCCAUAGUUCUGUU